CCCUUAGAUGUUCUGGGCCGCACGCGCGCUACACUGGUGUAUUCAACGAGUCUAUAGCCUUGGCCGACAGGCCCGGGUAAUCUUUGAAAUUUCAUCGUGAUGGGGAUAGAUCAUUGCAAUUGUUGGUCUUCAACGAGGAAUUCCUAGUAAGCGCGAGUCAUCAGCUCGCGUUGACUACGUCCCUGCCCUUUGUACACACCGCCCGUCGCUCCUACCGAUUGAAUGGUCCGGUGAAGUGUUCGGAUCGCGGCGACGUGGGCGCUUCGUCGUCGACGACGUCGCGAGAAGUCCACUGAACCUUAUCAUUUAGAGGAAGGAGAAGUCGUAACA
rnacentral:rRNA from 1 species